CUCUCUCUGAUCAACCUCUCUCCCUCCCUCCCUCCCUCUCUCUCUCUCUCUGUGGCUCGGAAAGACAAUAUGAGCAAAGCAAAGAAAAUCAGUCAACUCACGCUCACUGGACGAUCCCACCAUCAAAUCUUAAACCCUAGGCUAGCAGAAAUCGCAUAAGGUAGAAAUAUUUUCUCUGUGUGUUAAAUGUUAAUCCUUUCUGGCUGUAGAUCUAGGGUUUUCUUUAAAUUUUGUUUCUAUGUAUUCGAUUUGCCCGCUUGCAUGUCUUUGUUAGUGUUAAUUUUUUUAGGUUGGCAGUUAGCGGAUUGGAGAUAGAAAGAGGGCGGUGGAGGUGGCAAUCGGUGGUGGUGGUGGUUUUGUUGGCCGAAGACAACCAAAACCAAAUCUCGAUGGAAGAAGACAAAGAGGAACAGGGGUCCACUAAUUUCAUCGGAUCUUGUCCAGAAAUCAAGGGUCAAAGGUUUUAGCUGCCACUCAAACACCAGGAGAAGGAGAAGUAGGAAAGAAGUGGUUCUAAGGAGCAGCAGAUUAUAAUUUACGUGUAUAAAUGAGGAUGCCAAGAAGAAGAACGUGGAGCACAUACUAAUUUUGUCCGGUGAUCAUCUCUAUCGGAUGGAUUACAUGGACUUUGUGCAGAAGCAUGUCAACUUACAAGCUGAUAUCAUGGUUUCAUGUGUCCCCGACUCCCCAUGGAUGAUAGUUAUUACUCGAAGGUUGUCGCCAUUCUUCCAAAGACAUGAGUAGGACCAUUUGGAUUAUGCUGAGGCCUAAAUUGUGCAUUCAAUACACAAGUACCACGAAGCUGCCAUAAUUGAAAUUUACUUUCUGCCAAAACUUGUGAGGCAUGAUAUUGGUGGUACACGAUAGAGAUCUGCUUUCUAUAUGUUCUCUCUGUUUGCUGUUUUAGUUUGAAGUAUUGUGUACAUGUUUCAUAUUUUGCUGUUGUGUUUAAAUACAGCAUUGGAUUGACUUGUAGUGUAAGUAUUUAUUGGUACUUGUGGUUGGAUUAUUUAAAGGGCAUCCAUAUUUUAUCAUA